GACGAACGCUGGCGGCGUGCUUAACACAUGCAAGUCGAACGGAAAGGCCCUGCUUUUGUGGGGUGCUCGAGUGGCGAACGGGUGAGUAACACGUGAGUAACCUGCCCUUGACUUUGGGAUAACUUCAGGAAACUGGGGCUAAUACCGGAUAGGAGCUCCUGCUGCAUGGUGGGGGUUGGAAAGUUUCGGCGGUUGGGGAUGGACUCGCGGCUUAUCAGCUUGUUGGUGGGGUAGUGGCUUACCAAGGCUUUGACGGGUAGCCGGCCUGAGAGGGUGACCGGCCACAUGGGGAAAGAGAUAGGCCCCAGACUCCUAGGGGAGGGAGCAGGGGGGAAUAUGGCAAAAGGGGGGGACGCCUGAUGCAGCAACGCCGGGGGGGGGAUGCCGGCUGUCGGGUGGAACCCCGCUUCCGCCGGGGACGAAGGGGGAGGGACGGAAGGGGAAAAAGAAACACCGCCAAACUACGUC
rnacentral:rRNA from 1 species